GACGAACGCUGGCGGCGUGCCUAAUACAUGCAAGUUGAGCGAUGAAGAUUGGUGCUUGCACCAAUUUGAAGAGCAGCGAACGGGUGAGUAACGCGUGGGGAAUCUGCCUUUGAGCGGGGGACAACAUUUGGAAACGAAUGCUAAUACCGCAUAACAACUUUAAACAUAAGUUUUAAGUUUGAAAGAUGCAAUUGCAUCACUCAAAGAUGAUCCCGCGUUGUAUUAGCUAGUUGGUGAGGUAAAGGCUCACCAAGGCGAUGAUACAUAGCCGACCUGAGAGGGUGAUCGGCCACAUUGGGACUGAGACAAGGCCCAAACUCCUACGGGAGGCAGCAGUAGGGAAUCUUCGGCAAUGGACGAAAGUCUGACCGCGCAACGACGCGUGAGUGAAGAAGGUUUUCGGAUCGUAAAACUCUGUUGGUAGAGAAGAACGUUGGUGAGAGUGGAAAGCUCAUCAAGUGACGGUAACUACCCAGAAAGGGACGGCUAACUACGUG
rnacentral:rRNA from 1 species